rnacentral:rRNA from 1 species
UACAGAGGGUGCGAGCGUUAAUCGGGAUUACUGGGCGUAAAGCGCGCGUAGGCGGCUUUGCAAGUCGGUUGUGAAAUCCCCAGGCUCAACCUGGGAACUGCAUUCGAGACUGCAUUGCUAGAGUAUGGGAGAGGGAAGUGGAAUUUCCGGUGUAGCGGUGAAAUGCGUAGAUAUCGGAAGGAACAUCAGUGGCGAAAGCGACUUCCUGGACCAAUACUGACGCUCAUGCACGAAAGCGUGGGGAGCAAACAGG